rnacentral:rRNA from 1 species
GUAGGGAAUAUUGCGCAAUGGACGAAAGUCUGACGCAGCGACGCCGCGUGAGUGAUGAAGGCCUUAGGGUCGUAAAGCUCUGUUGAAUGGGAAGAAAAAAAUGACGGUACCAUUCGAGGAAGGACCGGCUAACUUCGUGCCAGCAGCCGCGGUAAUACGAGGGGUCCUAGCGUUGUUCGGAAUCAUUGGGCGUAAAGGGUGUGUAGGUGGCCAUGUACGUCAGGUGUGAAAGCCCCGGGCUCAACCCGGGAAGUGCACUUGAUACUGCGUGGCUUGAGUACCGAAGAGGGUAGUGGAAUUCCAGGUGUAGUGGUGAAAUACGUAGAUAUCUGGAGGAACACCGGUGGCGAAGGCGGCUACCUGGUCGAGUACUGACACUGAGACACGAAAGCAUGGGGAUCAAACAGGAUUAGAUACCCGAGUAGUCC